AAUGAAUUGCCUGAAAAAGGAUUACCUUGAUAGGGUAAAUUAUGUAAUACAAUUACAUUCAUUA
rnacentral:tRNA from 1 species